AGUGAGUUUAGUCCCUCAUUUGAGUCCACCUGUGUAGGUACGGACCAGAGAAAUCAGGGAACUCAGCAGUGAGUCCAGAGUCAGAACCUGCAGAGUCCGUUCAGAGAGAACUACAGGUGAGUGGAAUUUAACUUAAUGUUUUAAUCUGAGAACUGAAUAUUUUAUCAUGCUUCAUGCAUCAUGAAUAUGCUAUAGGGUGAGUGCAUUAGUGUACACAAAGAUGAUGCAUUGCAUUUAUCCUUGUACUUGGCAUUGCUCCUUGUACAUUGCUUAUGUGAGACGGCACGGACUUCGUGAGGAUUCAUUAGCCCUCAGAGGAAAGACCUGGAACAGCCCUACGGGGACCAGGCACAUAUAUAAAGACCUGGAACAGCCCUACGGGGACCAGGCACAUGGUACUUAGGUACCCCAGAUGAGAUAGAGGGAGUUUUG
rnacentral:lncRNA from 1 species